rnacentral:lncRNA from 1 species
UUUUUUUUUUUUUUUAGUUAUUCUGGCAGGUGUGAGGCGUAUCUGCCUCACUGCAGUUCUGAUUUGCAUUUCCCUGAUCCGUGGUGAUCCGUGAGGUCGAGCAUUUUCUCGUGUCUGUCGGCCACGUAUUGGUCUUGGAGAAAUGUCUGUUGGUUGUGUGUCCUCUGCCCGUUUUUAUUUAGGUUGUUUUUUGGUGUUGAAUUGCGUUAAGUUCUUUACACACUUUGGAUGCUGACCCUGUAUCAGGUCACUUGCCGGUGUGUUCUCCCACUCAGCAGGUUGUCUUUUAGUCUUUUAGUUUUCUUAUUUCCUUUGCUGUGCGGAAGCUUUUUAUUUUGAAGCAGUUUCAAUAGUCUCUUUUUGCUUUUGUGUCCCUUGCCUUAGGAGACCUCCCUAGAAAAAUCCUGCUAUGAAGAAAAAAACUGUGGUUCUAGUCAGUGUCAGGAUUACUGCCGAUGCUCUCUUCUACGAUUUUUAUGGCUUCAGGUCUGCCAUUCAGGUCCUGAAUCCACUGGGGCUUUACUUUGAGCGUGACGUAAGAGAGCGGCCCACUUUGGUUCCUUCGCAUGUAACUGUCCAGGCUUCCCCACACCGUUGGUUGCAGAGACGCUCUCUCGCUGCGUAGUCUCUGCCUCUCCCGUGAACAAUCCGCGUACAAUCAGGAGUGUGUUUCUGGGCCUCCCGUCCCGGUCAUUGACCCGAGCGCCCGCCUCUGCGCCCGCACCUACCGCUCGGGUUCCUACAGCUCCGUGGCACAUCUUGUUACUGAGGAUUGUGAUACGUUCAGUUGUUGUCUCUUCCGAGAUCGCUUUGGCUAUUCGGGGUGUUUCGUGCUUCCACACAAGUUUUAAGAUGAUUCUACGUGUGUGAAAAAUGCUGUUGGCAUUUUGAGAGGGACUGCGCUAAAUCUGUAGACCGCUUUGGAUAGUGACAUUUUAACAAUAUUUGUUCCCCCAGUCCGUGCGCGUGGCAGAUCUUUGGAUCUGCUGGCGUCCUCUUCAGGCUCCUCCUCGGCAUCCUCUACUUUUUAGACAUCAGGUCUCUCACUUCUUUGCUGAAGUUUAUUCCUUGGUUAUUAUUUUUGGUGCAACUGCAAAACAAUUUUGGGAUGGUUUCCUUAAUUUCCCUUUCUGUUGUUUCAUUAUGAGCGUAUAGAAAUGCAACAGAAUUUUGUAUAUUUGUAUCCUGAGGCCUUACCGAAUUUAUGUAUCCGUUCUAAUAGGUUUUAGGUGGAGUCUUUAGGGUUUUCUAUGUAUCGUAUCGUGUCACCUGCAAAUAGUGAACGUUGUAGUGCUUCCUUACCAAUUUGGAUGACUUUACUUUUUCUUCUUUGAUUGCUGCAGUUAGGACGUGCAAUACUGUGUUGAGUGAAGGUGGCGCGAGUGGACAUCUUUGUCUUGUUCUUGACCAUUGGGGAAAUGCUCUCAGGUUUUCACCAGUGAAUAGGAUGUUAGCUGUGGGUUUUUUCAUAUACGGUCUUUAUUGAGUAUGUUUCCCCUAAACCUACUUUGUUGAGUUUUCAUCAUGAAUGAUGUUGUACUCUGUCAGAUGAUUUUUCUGCAUCUGAUGAAAUGAGCAUGUGGUUUUUAUCCUUUCCUUUGUUGAUGUACUAUGUCAUGGUGACUGAUUUGUGAAUAUUGAGCUACCCUUGUCUUCCAUAAAUCCACUUGAUCGUGGUGGAUGAUUUUUUCAGUGUAUUGUUAGAUUCCGUUUGCUAACAUUAAAUAAUCUGUUCUCAUUGUUUUCUUAAUUUCUAUUUUGUUUAUUUCUGCUCUAAUCUUUAUUGUUUCUUCUGGUGUUGGGUUUUAUUCUUUCUUUUCUAGCUCCUUUAUGUAUAAGGUUAAGUUGUUUGGUAUUUUUCUUGCUUCGUGAGUUAAGCUUGUAUUGCUAUAAACUUGCCUCUUAGAAUAGCUUUUGCAGUGUUUCAAAGAUUGCGGACUCCUGUUUUCAUCUUCUUUUGUCUCCAUUUAUUUCUGCAUUUUUUUUUAAGAUUUAUUUAUUCAUGAGAGACACAGAAAGAGAAGCAGAGACACAGGCAGAGGGAGAAGCAGGCUCCAUGCAGGGAGCCCAACGUGGGACUCAAUCUGGGGACUCCAGGAUCAUGCCCUGGGCUGAAGGCGGCGCUAAACCGCUGACACCCAGGUGUCCCUGAUUUUUUUUUUUUUUAAAGAUUUUAUUUAUUCGUGAGAGACAGAGAGAGGCAGAGACGUAAAAAGAGGGAAAAGCAGGUGGGACUUGAUCCCAGGACCCCAGGAUCACGGCCAGAGACCAAGGCAGAUGCUCAACCACUGAGCCACCCAGGGGUCCCUUCUCUUUGAUUUCUUGAUUGACCCAUUCAUUGUCUAGUAGCAUAUUAUUCAACCUCCAUGUAUUUGUUUUUCCAGAUUUUUUUAUGGUUAAUUUCUAGUGUCAUAAUAGGAAGUGUCAUAGUUUCAUACUAUGAUUUUAAUUGAAGUUGUUGACUCACUUUGUGGCCUAAUAUGUGAUCUGUAUUGGAGAAUGUUCCACGUUCAGUUGAAAAGAAUGUGUUUUGCUAUUUUAGGAUGGGAUGUUCUGAAUAGACCUGUUAGAGCCAUCUGGUCCAUUGUGUCAUUCAGAGCCACUGUUUCCUUGUUGAUUUUCUAUUUUAAUGAUCUAUCCAUUGAUGUGUGGGGUGUUCUCUAUUAUUAUUGUAUUAUUAUCAGUUACUUCCUUUAUGUUUGCUGUUGCUGCUUUAUAUAUUUGGGUACUUCCCAAUUUGCAAUAUGAUCAUUAUGUUUGUCUAAUCUCUACACCCAACGUGGCGCUCCAGCUCACAACCCUGAAAUCGAGUCAUCAUGCCCUUCCUACUGAGCCAGCCAGGUGCCCCCAGUUGUUAGGUCUUCUUGUUGGAUCGUUCCUUUGAUUAUAUAGUAUCCUUUGUCUCUCGUUACUGUCUUUUAAUCUCUCUCUGAUGUAAGUAUUGCUGUCUCAGCUUUCCUCUACUGCCCUUUGCCUGUAAAUGGUUUCCUUCACUUGCCGCUUGCAUGCGUCUUUAGGUCUGAAAUGAGUCUCCUGUAGGCGGUGUAUAGAUGGGUCUUUUCAUCCGUUCCAUCACCUUAUGUCUUUUGAUUGGUGCAUUUACUCCAUGUACAUUCAGAGUAAUUAUCGAUCUGUCCUGAUUGCUACUUUGUUACUUGUUUUAUGGUUGUUUUUUGUCAUUCUCUGUUGCUUCUCAUUUUCUCUCAUGGUUUGCUGGCUUUCUUUAGCAAUAUAGUUGGGUUCCUGUCGUCUUUCUUUUUUGCGUAUUACUGGUUUUUGAUUUGUGGUUCCGUUAGAUUAUACACAGCCUCUUUUGCAUAUAGUAGUCUAUGUUAAGUUGCCAAUAGCUUAAGUCUUAACUCAUUCUUCUCUCCUUGCCCACAGUGUUUUGGGUAUUCAUUGUCAAACACUGCAGCCUUAUUUUGUGGAUUCCUUGACUGACUUUAUAGAUACUUGAGUUCCAACUGAAAAAUACACCAGGAGCCUUAUGGAGUUUCCCUUGUAUGUAAAUGUUUUCUUUUGCUGCUUUUUAAAUUCUGUCAGUGCUUUUGCCAUCUUAAUUACUGUGCAUCUUCGUAUGGAAUUCCUUGGGUAUUGUUGAGGACUUUUUGGUGGCUCCUGGAUCGGAAAUUUGUUUCCUUUCUUAGAUUUGGAGAAUUUUCAGCAAUUUCUGUAAAUAAAUUUCCUGUCCCCUUUUCUCUCUUCUGAGAUCCAUGUAAUGCAAUUGUUAUUAGGCUUAAUGGUGUCACCUAGUUUUUCCUUAGUCUAUUCUCAUUAUUUAUUUAUUUAUUAUUUAUUUAUUCCUUCCUAUUCGGCUUGAUUGCUUUCCAUUGCUCUGUCCUCUAGGCCACUGAUCUGUUCUGCUUCCUCUAAGUCUACUAUUUAUUCCAUUAUAUUUUUAGUUUCAACUACUGAGUUUAUCUCUGAUUGGUUUUCAUGGUUUUCUUUGUUGAGCAACUCACCAAUGUCCUCAAAGUCUUUUCUCAAGUCCAGAAUCCUUGACUAUUGCUUUAAACCCUCCAUCAGGUGUAUUACUCAGUUCUGGUUUUUUUUAGAUCUCUUGCUGUGAUUUGUCCUGGUCUUUCAUUUGGGACUUGGUCCUCUGACUUUUCAUUUUAUCUAACGCUGCAUCUGUUUCUGUGUGUUAGGAGAGUCAACUACGUCUCCUGAUUUUGCAAGUAAUAGCCUUAUGAAGAAGAGGUCCUGUGGUGGUGCCCUACUGCUCAAUAUCCUCGGCUCACCAAAACCUGGCUCUUCGGGGCUAUCGCCUGUGUGUGUUGCGUGUACCCCGGUUUGUGGCGGAGUCACGUUUGCCUUCAGUCCAGUCAUCUGCAGUAGCUUUCGUUGCCACUUGUGGACAGGGUUUCAUUCCUGUGGCAUGAGUGGGCCAGUCUGGGGCCUCCUUGGGCUUGAGUUGAGUCAGACGAGGUGUUCGCCAGAGAUGCAGUGGUAUGGAACUGCCUUAAGCUUUCCCUGUGUUGUCCUUUGAGAAGCUUUCAUUGGUGUGUGGGGCCCACAGUCAGACCUGAUGUCUGCCCCGAGUCCAUUGCUGGGGCCACACAGCUGGGCCGUGGUGUGUGUUAUCCUCCCUUCUCAGGGCAGGAGUCUGUGGAGUGGUGCUGGGCCACUGCCAGGCAGCGGCAAUGCUUUGGAUGGGCCCUGGCCACCCACCCGAAGGGCAGGUCUGUAGCAAAUAGUAGGGUUGGGGCGUGCAGUGCCAUCCCUUUCCCAGCUGUCCACUGAUGACCCCACAGUGGUUUAUAAAAUGUUAUCAGCUGAGCCAUAAGGGAAGCUUGCUGAAUACAGUAUAGUCCUGAGAAAGCCACGUGUGUACAUUUUUAACGGUACAUUUAAAUUUUUUUAGUGAAGUCUAAACUGAUGGAUUUGCUUUAUUGAAAUUGAUUUGUUGAUCAAAACAACCUUUAAAAAUAAGUUACUACUUCAGUGGUGUUUAUUGCAGAAUUCUAGACUUUAUUGACUAUCACCUUUGUAACUUCAGACCUGGAAUAGAAUUAAAAGCAUGAGCAUUCAGUGAGCAAGGAAAAGGUGAGUGUUUCUGCCAUUGUUCUUUGUAUUUAACAUGUUCAGAAUCCUUGUUUAAAAAAAAAAUAAUGUUGAACAUUUUCAUAAUGGAGAAAGACUCUGGGUUGAUACAGCAAUAAACAUUGCAUAAACUUUUAAAAUAUCUAUUCUAUAAUUAAACUUUAAGGCAACAUGGAAAAUUUAGUAAUGACAGUUUUAAGAAUCACGAACCUAUGGGUUUAAUGUCUCUUAAGUUAUAUGUGUAAGUCCAGAAAAUAAUGAAGUAGAUCUAGUUUAAUAACUGGACAAUUAGUGAUAUUAAGAUUUGUUUUACUGGAGAAUUACUGAGGUUCAUAUAGAAACAAAUUAAGGGAUGGUGCAACUGUUAACCAUAUUGACACAAAAAAACCAUUGGGCAGCUUUGAGAGCUUAGGAAAUAAUGGUGGGGAGUCUGAACUGAAACCCUGACUGCAGGAUGUGCAGGUCCCGCAGACCAGUGCAAUACUCAGAAAUGCUUAAAUGGCUUCCACGUAGUUGGCUGGCAGCAUGCCGGUCCUGCCCGUCCUCUGCACAGUGCCAUACAUCCAACCCUCGUCGAUCGCUUGGACGUUUACAAUAGCGUCUCCGUCUCUGAAGGACACCUCAUCU